rnacentral:rRNA from 1 species
AAGUCGUAACAAGGUUUCCGUAGGUGAACCUGCGGAAGGAUCAUUAUAGAGAGCUUCGGCUCCCUGUAUUGCAUUACCAUAAUGAUAUUCCUUUCCAUGUUGCUUCCACCCCUUUAUUUAUGGUGGUGGGAGGUUUAUUCAUACUAUUAUUUUUGCUUAGGCUGUUAAACUGUCUGAAUAUGAGGGAAAAUGUUAAAAAAAACUUUCAACAACGGAUCUCUUGGCUCCUGCAUCGAUGAGGAACGCAGCGAAAUGCGAUAAUUAAUGUGAAUUGCAGAAUUCCGUGAAUCAUCGAGUCUUUGAACGCACAUUGCGCCUCAUGGCAUUCCGUGAGGCAUGCCCAUCUCAGCGUUAGUAAAUAUAAUCAGAUUUUGACCUAGUGUCAAUCUUUGGAUCAUGUCAAGGAAGCUAUUUUUACUGUUAAGGUGGAUAGCUCUUUGGAAAUUCAUUGGUCUUCAAGUUACUAUUAUUGGAACGUGAUGAAAUUACUUCGUUCAAAAGUAGUUGACUUGUAUAGUCCCAAAUGAGAUAAUAUAUAUAUACCUUUGGUAUUAUUGUAUUUGACCUGAGAUUGGGUAGGGAUACCCGCUGAACUUAA